UAUUUUAUUUGUAUUGUUGUCGCGCGAUAGAUUUAAAUGUACUCACUUCAACGAAUUUAAUUUUUAGGUACUACCAAUUAUGCAUUAUAGUAUACCAUUCAUAAUUUAUUUUAUUUUUGGUGGAAGAUUUUUGUAUCGUAAUCUGUCAUGGAAUAAUUGCAGAGUCUUGGUGACCCACAAGAAACUUACAAAAGAAAAACAUAGGAGGAACCAACUUGUAAAUUUUAAGUCUGUCAAUCUACUAUGGAUAAAGAAUCAUCAAAAUCGUUAUUUUCUCUACUGUGCUGUCCUAAUAUAUAUGGAAUUAACUUAGAGUCCUCUAGUUUAAAUGAAGUUCUUUCAGUUUUCGAGGACAAAAUAUUACUGGAUUGCUGUUCAUCAGCAGCAGAAUAUGCUCUUGUUUAAUACCUCACUCACAUAGUGGAGCCAAUCGGAUGGAAAACUGUCUGGAGGUCAACUGGAAAAUCUUCUAUUGUUGAUUCAGAGUUAGAUUUCAUAGUGGAAGUUGUGAGUGUGGGAAAAGUUAGAGGCUGGUGAAAUCAGUAAUCGGAGCUGACCUCAACCAGAUACAGUGGAUUCAGCAAGAAGUUAAAAAAUGUUCUAGUGUUGCUCUACCAUUAGUUGAGUUGUUUGUAAUCAGUGAAGAGGACGAUGAUGAAGUGUAUCUUAAAACAGCAUUUGCUAUUGAGCAUGUUUGGUAACUAUAUCUACAAAAAAAAAACUGUCUUGCCAUCACAAGAAUUCUAUGCAACUGAAAUCGUCUGCUGCUGUGGAAACAGGAGUAAAACUAUUUUGACUGAGCGAGAAUCAAAGAGAUAAUGUUACUCCGUCAAUCCGCAAAAGUGCAAAUCAUAUCUCUUCUUAACCAGCCAAAGCACGAGUAUGCAGGAAUUGUGAUGGCUAGACUGUAUAUUAACUUUUUUUGAUACUUUGGGAUUAUCUUGUUGAUCUGCUCUAAGUACCUGUACUUAUAUAAGUGUUUAAUAAGUAGUAAUCAAAAACUUUGAUUGCCAUUAUAACUAUUUUGAUUUUUAGAAAUUCUUUGGAAAUUCUUUUUAUUGCAUUUGCAACGACCUUGGGGUGGCGAGGAAGAUAUCCAAUAUACGGAAGACAUUUUAAAACCUCGAUUGCAGCUUUACUUUGACAUGAAGAAUAACAUUCUGCCCAAACCCAUGAUAUCCAAAAUAAAAAUGAUUCUGAAGCAAGCAACCAAAGUGCAGAGAGAGAGAUCAACCUGAUGUAUUCUGAAAUAAAUGUCAGUGAUUCUGAAGCUGAAAUCAAUGAAGAGGACUUUAUGAGGACAAUUGAAUUGAAAGAAUGACUCAAUGAACUGCGAACUAAAAUGGAAAUGUUGGAGAAUCCAGUAAUUAGAAUUUAUCUGUUGAUUCUAAUGGGAUUCUGGAAUUCGAACAUAAUCCUGAAACUGCCUUUAAAUCCAGUUCUGCUGGAGAUAAAAUUAUAAUUUUUCCCAGUACCUACAUAUGUAAUACUUUAGGAUGGGUUGAAGAGCCUAUAACAGUUCAACGUAAUUAUAUCUUAUUUA